rnacentral:lncRNA from 1 species
GUCCUCUUGUUGUAAGCCACUAUCUAUAUAAAGUCAAAUAUCAUGAAUGAAUGUAUGCAAUUAGGACUCUGCCAAUGAUUUCUAACGUAUGUGACGUCAAUUAAUAUUGAUCGAAAUUCUUACUUAGAGGACAAUUUUAUUUUUAUUUUAAAAAUAUAUGACACACUUUAUUAUGCUUUUUUUUUCGAGGAUAUUAUAUCAAACUAUGA